rnacentral:ncRNA from 2 species
UGACUUCACCGGGGGUGCCCUGGCUGCGAUCUGCGGCAGGGGCUGAGACAUACCCCUCUCACCUGAUCUGGGUUGUGCCAGCGUAGGGAGCGUGAAGUGAAAGCCCU